rnacentral:rRNA from 1 species
AGUGAACGCUGGCGGUAGGCCUAACACAUGCAAGUCGAACGGCAGCACAGUAAGAGCUUGCUCUUACGGGUGGCGAGUGGCGGACGGGUGAGGAAUACAUCGGAAUCUACUUUUUCGUGGGGGAUAAUGUAGGGAAACUUACGCUAAUACCGCAUACGACCUACGGGUGAAAGCAGGGGAUCUUCUGACCUUGCGCGAUUGAAUGAGCCGAUGUCGGAUUAGCUAGUUGGCGGGGUAAAGGCCCACCCAGGCGACGAUCCGUAGCUGGUCUGAGAGGAUGAUCAGCCACACUGGAACUGAGACACGGUCCAGACUCCUACGGGAGGCGGCAGUGGGGAAUAUUGGACAAUGGGCGCAAGCCUGAUCCAGCCAUACCGCGUGGGUGAAGAAGGCCUUCGGGUUGUAAAGCCCUUUUGUUGGGAAAGAAAAGCAGCAGGUUAAUACCCCGCUGUUCUGACGGUACCCAAAGAAUAAGCACCGGCUAACUUCGUG